GAUGAACGCUGGCGGCGUGCCUAAUACAUGCAAGUCGAGCGAACAGACGAGGAGCUUGCUCCUCUGACGUUAGCGGCGGACGGGUGAGUAACACGUGGAUAACCUCCCUAUAAGACUGGGAUAACUUCGGGACACCGGAUCUAAUACCGGAUAAUAUAUUGAACCGCAUGGUUCAAUAGUGAAAUACGGUUUUGCUGUCACUUAUAGAUGGAUCUGCGCCGCAUUAGCUAGUUGGUAGGGUAAAGGCUUACCACGGCGACGAUGCGUAGCCGACCUGAGAGGGUGAUCGGCCACACUGGAACUGAGACACGGUCCAGACUCCUACGGGAGGCAGCAGUAGGGAAUCUGCCGCAAUGGGCGAAAGCCUGACGGAGCAACGCCGCGUGAGUGAUGAAGGUCUUCGGAUCGUAAAACUCUGUUAUUAGGGAAGAACAAAUGUGUAAGUAGCUAUGCACGUCUUGACGGUACCUAAUCAGAAAGCCACGGCUAACUACGUG
rnacentral:rRNA from 1 species